rnacentral:rRNA from 1 species
UCUACGGGAGGCAGCAGUAGGGAAUCUUCCACAAUGGACGCAAGUCUGAUGGAGCAACGCCGCGUGAGUGAAGAAGGCUUUCGGGUCGUAAAACUCUGUUGUUGGAGAAGAAUGGUCGGCAGAGUAACUGUUGUCGGCGUGACGGUAUCCAACCAGAAAGCCACGGCUAACUACGUGCCAGCAGCCGCGGUAAUACGUAGGUGGCAAGCGUUAUCCGGAUUUAUUGGGCGUAAAGCGAGCGCAGGCGGUUUUUUAAGUCUGAUGUGAAAGCCCUCGGCUUAACCGAGGAAGCGCAUCGGAAACUGGGAAACUUGAGUGCAGAAGAGGACAGUGGAACUCCAUGUGUAGCGGUGAAAUGCGUAGAUAUAUGGAAGAACACCAGUGGCGAAGGCGGCUGUCUGGUCUGUGACUGACGCUGAGGCUCGAAAGCAUGGGUAGCGAACAGGAUUAGAUACCCUGGUAGUCCAUGCCGUAAACGAUGAAUGCUAGGUGUUGGAGGGUUUCCGCCCUUCAGUGCCGCAGCUAACGCAUUAAGCAUCCCGCCUGGGGAGUACGACCGCAAGGUUGAAACUCAAAGGAAUUGACGGA